rnacentral:rRNA from 1 species
AAUCAACGCUGGCGGCGUGCCUCAGACAUGCAAGUCGAACGCGAAAGUCCCCUUCGGGGGAUAAGUAGAGUGGCGUCCGGGUGAGUAACACGUAGGUAAUCUACCUUUGGGUGGGGAAUAACAACCGGAAACGGUUGCUAAUACCGCAUAAUGCAGCGGCACCACAUGGUGACAGUUGCUAAAGCGGGGGAUCGCAAGACCUCGCGCCUAAAGAGGAGCCUGCGGCGGAUUAGCUAGNGGUAGGGUAACGGCCUACCAAGGCAACGAUCCGUAGCCGGCCUGAGAGGGCGGUCGGCCACACUGACACUGAAAUACGGGUCAGACUCCUACGGGAGGCAGCAGUCGGGAAUUUUGGGCAAUGGGCGAAAGCCUGACCCAGCAACGCCGCGUGAAGGAUGAAAUCCCUCGGGAUGUAAACUUCGCAAGAACAGGAAGAAUAAGUAGGGACAAUACCCCCUAUGAUGACGUACUGUUUGUAAGCUCCGGCUAACUCCGUGCCAGCAGCCGCGGUAAU